rnacentral:lncRNA from 1 species
GUCCAGGCUGGAGUUCUCUAUUUCAUGCUCCCGUGUCUUCUGUGCUGUUGUGUGAGUCAGAAUUGUCUGCUUGUGGAAGGCAGUCAUCUUGCGACUCUCCCUGUGUCUGUGUCUGCCCAGGAGUGACUGUCUGAAGAUAUCUGUCCCUAAUAAAAAAGUGGGAAGAUGGACAUUUGUAGAUGGAAGGAUCCCACGGUUCAUGUUACACAUUCAGAAAAUUAAGACAAGGGCUGGACUGUAGCCCAGUGGUUCAAGUGUUAGCUUAGUAUGCAUCGGACUUCCAGUUCAAGCCUUAUCAUGCAUGCAUAAACCAAGCAUAAUGGCACAUUAUUGUAAAACCUCUUGGUACUGAGUUACAGGAAACGGAGAAGGAAGCAUUGGCUGGUCCAAAUCCUGUUCUGCUUGUACACACAUCUGAAAGGCCUCAGUGAAGAGGUGCCAUACAA